CGGCUCCCAAAGAGAGGGCAGAUCGUCGUGGCGCUGGGAUGAUCCGAUGCAGUGUCCCGGUGCGGAGACGCUGUUCUGGGAUAUGGGCCUCGUGAGGCCGGAGCUGGUCCGGUCUUGGUUUUCUAAUGAUCUUGCUUCGCCAUGGCAACCAAUAUGGAGGUGCUGGCUCAGCAGGUAAUGGAGACUCAGCAGGUGGCUGAGGAAAUGCACCGUGGUAACAUAGUGUGAUGGUUGUAUCUUGCCACUGGAGAGAUCUCUUCAUCCCAAGAAUUUAUGAAGCUCUGUGAUUUCUUCCUAGCCGG
rnacentral:lncRNA from 1 species